rnacentral:ncRNA from 1 species
ACAAAAUUGUGACUUAGUUUAGAGAUUAGGGUUAAUUGCUUUGAUUUUCAUACUCAUAUUGGGCUAUAGGAGGAUAGAUUAGUAGUGAUUAGUUUUAUUAGUUUAUUAAUAGUAAGAUGUAGCAAUAGUUAAAAAUUCCAACAAAUAUUUGUGCCAGCAGUUGCGGUUAUACAAAAGGUGUUACUUAAUUUAUGCGGUUUUAGUUAAUUGAUUAUUUAAUUUUAAAAUUUAUAUUGAGAGGUGAAAUUUUAAUAUGAAGUUAAGGGAUUUUAAUUAGAUGUUCUAGGAAAAUUUAUUAAUAAACCAGGAUUAGAUACCCUGUUAUAUUUCAUUGUAUAAUAAUAAGGCCGGAUUAGUAGUAGUUAAAUUCUUUAAAAUUAAAUAUCUUGGCGGUACUCUAACCUGUCAGAGGAACCUGUCCUGUUAUUGAUAGUCCACAAUUUAUCUUACUUUUGCUAUUGCUUGUAUAUCGUUGUUGUAAAGAAUAUUUUUAAAAAGCUAAUUUUCUUUAAAUAAAAUUUUAUUUUAGAUCAAAUCAAGGUGCAGCUUUAAAAAGAAGAGAUGGGUUACGUUAAUGAGUUUAAAUUUGUAAAUUUUACAUUUAUUAGGAUUUGAAAGUAAUUGUAUUUAUUUAAGUAAGUUGAAUCAGGCUCUGGAGUAUGUACAUAUCGCCCGUCGCUUUCAUAUUUAUAUGAAAUAAGUCGUAACAUAGUAGAGCUAUCGGAAGAUGGCUCUGGAAUGAC